rnacentral:rRNA from 1 species
GACGAACCGUGCGAACGUUGUUCGGAUUCACUGGGCUUAAAGGGCGCGUAGGCGGGUUAUCAAGUCAGGGGUGAAAUCUUUCGGCUUAACCGGAAAACAGCUUCUGAUACUGGUAGUCUUGAGGGAGGUAGGGGCAGGCGGAACUUCCGGUGGAGCGGUGAAAUGUGUUGAUAUCGGAAGGAACGCCGGUGGCGAAAGCGACCUGCUGGAUCUCUUCUGACGCUGAGGCGCGAAAGCUAGGGGAGCGAACGGG